GUUUCUUUCAUUUCAAGGUUUAUACAUCAUCAUCUAUCAAUAAAAUUCAAAAGGGUUGUAAUAACAAUCAAAUUCAAAAGCAACACAAGUGUCGCUGUGAAUGAGAAAGUAUGGUUUUUCAAGUGCACUAAGUGUAUGGAUAGUUAAACGAGCCUCAAUAAAGAGCACUCUAAUGUUUCACUAAUGAUCCUUCCGCAGGUUCACCUACGAAAA
rnacentral:misc_RNA from 1 species